AGAGUUUGAUCAUGGCUCAGAUUGAACGUUGGCGGCAGGCCUAAGACAUGCAAGUCGAGCGGUAACAGAUCUAGCUUGCUAGAUGCUGACGAGCGGCGGACGGGUGAGUAACGCGUAGGAAUCUAUCCAGUAGCGGGGGAUCCAGUAGCGGGGGAUAGCCCGGGGAAACCCGGAUUAAUACCGCAUACGCCCCACGGGGGAAAGGCCGGGAUCUAUUUAUAGACCGGUCACUAUUGGAGGAGCCUGCGUUAGAUUAGCUAGUUGGUAGGGUAAAAGCCUACCAAGGCAACGAUCUAUAGCUGUUCUGAGAGGAAGAUCAGCCACACUGGAACUGAGACACGGUCCAGCUCCUACGGGAGGCAGCAGUAGGGAAUAUUGUGCAAUGGGGGAAACCCUGACACAGCCAUGCCGCGUGUGUGAAGAAGGCUCUAGGGUUGUAAAGCACUUUCAGUAGGGAGGAACAAGCUGGGUUAAUACCCCGGUCUAGUGACGUUACCUACAAAAGAAGAUCCGGCUAACUCCGUGCCAGCAGCCGCGGUAAUACGGAGGGAUCAAACGUUAAUCGGAAUUACUGGGCGUAAAGCGCGCGUAGGUGGUUUAUUAAGUGGGAUGUGAAAGCCCCGGGCUUAACCUGGGAACUGCAUUCCAAACUGAUAGACUAGAGUACGAUAGAGGGGGGUAGAAUUCAGAGUGUAGCGGUGAAAUGCGUAGAUAUUCUGAGGAAUACCGGUGGCGAAGGCGGCCCCCUGGAUUGAUACUGACACUGAGGUGCGAAAGCGUGGGGAGCAAACAGGAUUAGAUACCCUGGUAGUCCACGCCGUAAACGAUGUCUACUAGCCGUUGGGAGGCUUGACCUCUUAGUGGCGAAGCUAACGCGAUAAGUAGACCGCCUGGGGAGUACGGUCGCAAGAUUAAAACUCAAAUGAAUUGACGGGGGCCCGCACAAGCGGUGGAGCAUGUGGUUUAAUUCGAUGCAACGCGAAAAACCUUACCAGGCCUUGACAUCCAGAGAACUUUCUAGAGAUAGAUCGGUGCCUUCGGGAACUCUGUGACAGGUGUUGCAUGGCUGUCGUCAGCUCGUGUCGUGAGAUGUUGGGUUAAGUCCCGUAACGAGCGCAACCCUUAUCCUUAUUUGCCAGCACGUAAUGGUGGGAACUCUAAGGAGACUGCCGGUGAUAAACCGGAGGAAGGAGAGGAUGACGUCAAGUCAUCAUGGCCCUUACGGCCUGGGCUACACACGUGCUACAAUGGACAGUACAGAGGGAAGCGAUACCGCGAGGUGGAGCAAAUCCCAGAAAACUGUUCGUAGUCCGGAUCGGAGUCUGCAACUCGACUCCGUGAAGUCGGAAUCGCUAGUAAUCGCGAAUCAGCAUGUCGCGGUGAAUACGUUCCCGGGCCUUGUACACACCGCCCGUCACAUCAUGGGAGUGGGCUGCAAAAGAAGUGGCUAGUCUAACCUUCGGGAGGACGGUCACCACUUUGUGGUUCAUGACUGGGAUGAAGUCGGAACAAGGUAGCC
rnacentral:rRNA from 1 species